rnacentral:rRNA from 1 species
UGGGGAAUAUUGGACAAUGGGCGAAAGCCUGAUCCAGCCAUGCCGCGUGUGUGAAGAAGGUCUUCGGAUUGUAAAGCACUUUAAGUUGGGAGGAAGGGCAGUAAGCGAAUACCUUGCUGUUUUGACGUUACCGACAGAAUAAGCACCGGCUAACUCUGUGCCAGCAGCCGCGGUAAUACAGAGGGUGCAAGCGUUAAUCGGAAUUACUGGGCGUAAAGCGCGCGUAGGUGGUUCGUUAAGUUGGAUGUGAAAGCCCCGGGCACAACCUGGGAACUGCAUCCAAAACUGGCGAGCUAGAGUAGGGCAGAGGGUGGUGGAAUUUCCUGUGUAGCGGUGAAAUGCGUAGAUAUAGGAAGGAACACCAGUGGCGAAGGCGACCACCUGGGCUCAUACUGACACUGAGGUGCGAAAGCGUGGGGAGCAAACAGG